UACGUAGGGUGCGAGCGUUGUCCGGAAUUAUUGGGCGUAAAGAGCUCGUAGGCGGCUUUGUAAGUUAGAGGUGAAAGCCCGGAGCUCAACUCCGGAACUGCCUUUAAGACUGCAUCGCUAGAAUUGUGGAGAGGUGAGUAGAAUUCCGAGUGUAGAGGUGAAAUUCGUAGAUAUUCGGAAGAACACCAGUGGCGAAGGCGACUCACUGGACAGAUAUUGACGCUGAGGUGCGAAAGCGUGGGGAGCAAACAGG
rnacentral:rRNA from 1 species